AUACGUAGGGGGCGAGCGUUGUCCGGAAUGGUUGGGCGUAAAGGGCGCGUAGGCGGCCCGGUAAGUCUGGAGUGAAAGUCCUGUUUUUAAGAUGGGAAUUGCUUUGGAUACUGUCGGGCUUGAGUGCAGGAGAGGUAAGUGGAACUCCCAGUGUAGCGGUGAAAUGCGUAGAGAUUGGGAGGAACACCAGUGGCGAAGGCGACUUACUGGACUGUAACUGACGCUGAGGCGCGAAAGUGUGGGGAGCAAACAGGAUUAGAUACCCUGGUAGUCCACACUGUAAACGAUGAAUGCUAGGUGUAGGGGGUAUCGACCCCUUCUGUGCCGCAGUCAACACAAUAAGCAUUCCGCCUGGGGAGUACGGCCGCAAGGUUGAAACUCAAAUGAAUUGACGGGG
rnacentral:rRNA from 1 species